UGGGCGAAAGCCUGAUCCAGCAAUGCCAUGUGUGUGAAGAAGGCUCUAGGGUUGUAAAGCACUUUAGUUGGGGAGGAAAGCUUAUGAGUUAAUAGCUCAUAGGAAGGACGUUACCCAAAGAAUAAGGACCGGCUAACUCCGUGCCAGCAGCCGCGGUAAUACGGGGGGUCCGAGCGUUAAUCGGAAUUACUGGGCGUAAGGGGUCUGUAGGUGGUUUGUUAAGUCAGAUGUGAAAGCCCAGGGCUCAACCUUGGAACUGCAUUUGAUACUGGCAAACUAGAGUAUAGUAGAGGAAUGGGGAAUUUCUGGUGUAGCGGUGAAAUGCGUAGAGAUCAGAAGGAACACCAAUGGCGAAGGCAACAUUCUGGACUAAUACUGACACUGAGGGACGAAAGCGUGGGGAUCAAACAGGAUUAGAUACCCUGGUAGUCCACGCUGUAAACGAUGAGUACUAGCUGUUGGAGUCGGUGUAAAGGCUCUAGUGGCGUAGCUAACGCGUUAAGUACUCCGCCUGGGGACUACGGCCGCAAGGCUAAAACUCAAAGGAAUUGACGGGG
rnacentral:rRNA from 1 species